CAGUAAUAUACAUUAUACAAUUGUUUAUCAACUCAAAUUGUUCCAGAGAAUUGUUUUGCAACAUCAAUUUUUGUAAUUGUUACAAGGAGGACCACCACCUUAAAAGCGGGAAUAUGAGCUAAAAAAUAACAAGACUACUCAGUUGGUGGUCCGAAUUCGGACUUUUUGAUUGUUGUAGUUGGACCCUAGAAGGAAGAAUUAUAGUUAACUACCACUAAGGUCCUGGUAAUAGAUUUCCAGACCUAUGCAUACUCGUACAAUAGAACUUGUCUAAAGCGGCGUGAAUAUGGUGGUGUUUACUUAUAUUCAUGGGUAAACAAAGUGACAGAGAAUGGCGCUGUCUUCUGGAAAAUAAGACAACUCCCCUUAUUAAAUAAAAAAUAUCCUGUAUGUAUGUUUGUCAUAUAGGUGGCGCUGACAAAAUUAUUUUGAAUAUUCGCUAUUUUUAAAACAAGCUACAGACUGGGAUAUAUAUUUUUUUUACUUUGCUCGUGCCUUAUUGGACCUUCCCUCAUAAUAGUUGAACACUCCUGUUCUUAGGGCUAGUUUUAGAAAAAAAAGGAAAGCUUGCACAGUGCAAAUGUAUCUUUAAGCCAGGCCUUGUUUACAACAAAACCGGGCCAGCCGGUCCUAGCAUUCAUUAAGGAAUAAAAUUGCUGUGAUGUGAAAUAAUAUAAUAUUAUUAAUUAUAAAUAUAUUAUUUUUCAAAGAAAUUAGUAUAAUAAAAAAGCGUAAUCAUAUCCCAAAUUAAUAAUAAUUCGUUGGUUUCCAUAGUAGUAUUGUAAUUACAUUAUUUAAGCUAUACAAAAUAUAGGCUUCUUUGUAAUAUUGUUGAUUCGUCUCCACUGCUUCAAAAUAACAGUCCACAGAAAUGUAUGAGUGACAACAAGGAAAAGAGGUACAAGAACGAGAAGCAUCGUACUCAAUGCAACAUCAUGUUUCACCUGCUGCCUGAUCCAAAGAGUAUUGAACAUCCAUCCAAAUAGAUGAGCACAGCAUAAAAUGAUGAAGACAUAAAACACAAGCCAAAUGAGUAAAAGUGUGGGCUUCCGCUUCCAAAGUCCAAUUAUAAGAAGCAAAUUGACAACAAAACUUAUAGACGAUCCCAACAUUUGUACCAAAAUCCCACUGAUACUAGCACCAAGUGAUCUACAAAGUGUCCAGAAUAGAAGGGAAGUACAAAUGCGUAGUGAGUACUUAUCGGGUAGCUCCGGAUCAGAUAUUCGAUUAACUAACAGAACAAUGCAUAUUUGUAUGCCAAAAAAGUCCAAUAUUAAAAAUGCACUUCCAAUUAUUAAAGCCACGUUGUUCGUAUCACAAAUUUUAUCAAAUACAUAUUUUAACUUUUCUUUGUAGGUGGAGUCUGUAAAUUCUUCGGCGUCAACGAAGGAGGACAAAUCGUAGUCGUUUCUUCUUCUGGAUGAAGGGAAAAAGUUAUCUUCCCUCCGGGAUAGAGCCAUAUUUUUAUAAAGGUCUCAAGAUUAUUUGAUAAACGAAUUUUAUUUUUUCCAAUUACGUGUGCUUUUACUAUUAGAAACCUUUGAAAGUAGCCUUGUAUGUAAAUAUUAUUUCCUUGAAAGUAUAAACGACGAGGAAAACAAGGGUGGGUAAAAUAUAUGCUAAUUAAUCACUGAUAAAACUUACCAGAGACUCUUAUAAUAUAUUUUACUUAAUAUUCCACACCAACACACAACUUGUGCCUAGAAAGCUAGUACUUCAGUCUGGAAAGCAAUGACGUUAACUUAAUACUAUUAGAUGUCACCUGUGAACAUCAUGUGUACAUAUAAAUAGUUAUAUAUGUGUGUAUAUAUCUUUGACUAAGUGUGUUGCCUAUUGAAUUCAAAUUCUAAAUAAGUCCAAUCUACAUACAUACAAACAAAAACGCUCGUAUAAGAACAAAAAAAUCUCGGUUUAUUGUACACAAUCUAUCACAUAUUUCAUAAUAUUGAUGAACAGUUCUUAUUUUAACUACAAUAGUUGUAUCUCAAUACUGUAUCUAUGUCCUAUUCUUAUUUGUGUAAUUUGAGAAUGAAUAAAUAAAUACUAUUAUUG
rnacentral:lncRNA from 1 species